UUGCAACUAUGAAGACACAUUCUGUUUCAAUCUAGUUAAAUCCGGAUCUUUAGCGUCGUCUGUCCGCUUGUGAAUAUAUGUAUUCCACGUACUCCGUGACUUAUUUCGCCGCAUUGUUAGUAUUGUUAAAAAUAUAGACCCCCUUUCUUCUUAAUUGGGCAUAAUAAAUAGCGCUAAACUACAUGUAUAUUAUACGAUGACUUGUUUUAGAUUAGAUUUUGUCCAUCUUGGACUAUUUCCCCUUACCAUCGUUCAAACACGGAAAUCGUUACCAAAUAUGGAGAUAAGUCAAAAUCAUGUGAUUUUCAGCUGUUAUGUUUCAUUAACUUAUUGAUAUUUUACGCACUUUAAGGUAUUUAUAAUUAGAUAGGUAUUUCUUAGCGGUUUUUCUAUUCUUACAAGUGACUACGCUUGGUGUUUUAGAGAUUAUUCGGGAAACAUGAAAUGACGAUUUGACACGUGUUUGACUCGUUCUUGUUGUAUGAAUUCUGGGAUUUGCCGGGUGUAUGCUCAUUGUAACAGAUUACACGGAGUUGUCACGGGGAUGGUCCUUUGAUUUAUGUUUGGCAGCAUCAGUUUAUAUUUUGAUUGAGAUUAUCGCUGUCGUCACUGGGGUCAUUGUUAAUGCAGUAAGGUCAUCAAACCAAAAAUCCGGUAAAAGUCCGAAACAGUCCGAGGAGACGGAUAACGGCGGGAAUGUGUUCACGGGAAAUGUUCAGACUGACAACCAUUACAAAAGAAACACUCGGGCCGCUGAUGAUUACAAAAGAAAUGCUCAGAGUGACACUGACUCCAAAGUAACAGCCUACUUAAAUCUGCUCAGGUGGCCAUCAUAGCAAGCACUGAGCUCUUCAAAAUACCCAAAUGGUGAAAUAAAAACUGGUACAUAUUUCUUGAAUAGUUGAGUGCAUUGACUUCCAGAACAACCGAAAGAAACGCUUUCAUUGGUUAAA